rnacentral:rRNA from 1 species
CCUACGGGAGGCUGCAGUGGGGAAUAUUGGACAAUGGGGGCAACCCUGAUCCAGCCAUGCCGCGUGUGUGAAGAAGGCCCUCGGGUUGUAAAGCACUUUCAGUGAGGAAGAACGCCUGGUGGUUAAUACCCAUCAGGAAAGACAUCACUCACAGAAGAAGCACCGGCUAACUCCGUGCCAGCAGCCGCGGUAAUACGGAGGGUGCGAGCGUUAAUCGGAAUUACUGGGCGUAAAGCGCGCGUAGGUGGCUUGAUAAGCCGGUUGUGAAAGCCCCGGGCUCAACCUGGGAACGGCAUCCGGAACUGUCAAGCUAGAGUGCAGGAGAGGAAGGUAGAAUUCCCGGUGUAGCGGUGAAAUGCGUAGAGAUCGGGAGGAAUACCAGUGGCGAAGGCGGCCUUCUGGACUGACACUGACACUGAGGUGCGAAAGCGUGGGUAGCAAACAGGAUUAGAUACCCCCAGUAGUC